rnacentral:misc_RNA from 1 species
CAAGCCCACGCCUUCCUCUUUACUUGCUUGUAGUGUGAGUGCCAGUGUGCCACUUCCAAGAGCUACCUCACAAGGAACUACAAAUCUUUAACUUCUGACAUCUCUCUCCCUCUUUCUUUCUUGCUUCAAGUGGAAGCUCGCAUAGAGAGAGAGAGAAGAGAGAGAGAGAGAGAGAGAGCUAAAAUAGGAAAGGGAAAAUGGGUGUAGGCGCCAGCAACUUUGUCAUCAGAUGGAUCAACUUUCUCACCAUGCUUUUAGCUAUAGCUGUCAUAAUUUUUGGAGUAUGGAUGAGCACACAUCCUGACAGCUGCCGAAGGUUUCUCACUCUCCCUGUGCUAGGCCUUGGGGCUUUCAUAUUUGUAAUAUCAAUAAUCGGCUUCUUGGGUGCGCUGAAGAACAACUCCAUAUUGUUGUGGAUUUAUCUGAUUUUGCUGUGCGUCAUUUUGGUGGCUAUUCUGGUUUUCACAGUAUUGGCGUUUAUUGUAACAAAUAAUGGAUCUGGUCAUAGUGUCCCUGGUUUGAGGUAUAAGGAGUAUGAACUUCAGGAUUUCAGCUCAUGGUUUCUUAAACAGCUGAAAGAUACCCAAAAUUGGAAGCAAUUGAAGAGUUGUCUUGUGAAAUCUGAUGACUGCAAUAAUCUAUCCAAGA